GGACAAAACUAUAUAGUUGAGAGUACAUACAAUGUACUAUAUAUUAUCUUGUCAAGAACUUCCCUUUUCUAGUUGAUCAUUUCCUUUUUUGCUCACAAUUCCUUUUUCUAGUUGAUACUCAUAGAUAGCUAGUCAAAGAUUCAAAAAUUUGUUUGACAUACUAGUCUUAUACUUCAGUUCUUGGCCCCGAAACCACGAGGGCUAGGCCUAGCUGAUCCCGAGUCUGCAAAGUGUUUCCUUGGUUCUGACCUUCGCUUCCUCCUUGCAGUACCGGGAGGAGCCUGCUGUUCAGAUUUUAGUGCCUCCUCUAGAUUACUCAGUGCAGGAAUCGAACCACCUUCCAUAACGCCCAUCAAAUUCUUCAUACGUACACGCAUUUGAAA
rnacentral:misc_RNA from 1 species